GGGCAGUAGGGAAUCUUCCGCAAUGGACGAAAGUCUGACGGAGCAACGCCGCGUGAGUGAUGAAGGUUUUCGGAUCGUAAAGCUCUGUUGUUAGGGAAGAACAAGUACCGUUCGAAUAGGGCGGUACCUUGACGGUACCUAACCAGAAAGCCACGGCUAACUACGUGCCAGCAGCCGCGGUAAUACGUAGGUGGCAAGCGUUGUCCGGAAUUAUUGGGCGUAAAGGGCUCGCAGGCGGUUUCUUAAGUCUGAUGUGAAAGCCCCCGGCUCAACCGGGGAGGGUCAUUGGAAACUGGGGAACUUGAGUGCAGAAGAGGAGAGUGGAAUUCCACGUGUAGCGGUGAAAUGCGUAGAGAUGUGGAGGAACACCAGUGGCGAAGGCGACUCUCUGGUCUGUAACUGACGCUGAGGAGCGAAAGCGUGGGGAGCGAACAGGAUUAGAUACCCUGGUAGUCCACGCCGUAAACGAUGAGUGCUAAGUGUUAGGGGGUUUCCGCCCCUUAGUGCUGCAGCUAACGCAUUAAGCACUCCGCCUGGAGACUAA
rnacentral:rRNA from 1 species